rnacentral:rRNA from 1 species
UUCCGUAGUGACCUGCGGAGGAUCAUUA